CCUACGGGACGCAGCAGUGAGGAAUAUUGGUCAAUGGGCGGAAGCCUGAACCAGCCAAGUCGCGUGAGGGGAUAAGGCCCUACGGGUCGUAAACCUCUUUUGCCGGGGAGCAAGGGCGAGGACGUGUCCCGGCCCGGAGAGUACCCGGAGAAAAAGCAUCGGCUAACUCCAUGCCAGCAGCCGCGGUAAUACGGAGGGUGCAAGCGUUACUCGGAAUCACUGGGCGUAAAGAGCGCGUAGGCGGGAUAGCAUGUCAGAUGUGAAAACCUAUGGCUUAACCAUAGAACUGCAUUUGAAACUGUUAU
rnacentral:rRNA from 1 species